rnacentral:lncRNA from 1 species
CUCUGCGGCGGAAGCUGCGCUGCGGGGAGAGCGGGGUCGCUGCAAGGUCGGCGGCUGGGCCUCCGGUCCCGCCGCUGCUCUCGGGGGAGGCCUGGUGCCUGCUGUCUCCCGAAGCCGCUCCUGUGCCCCAGGACACUCAGGGUUCCUCCAGGUUGUCCUUCAGCCCUGGCAAGAGGGCCGCAGGCCCCGCAGGAAGCACAGGACAAGCUCUGGCGCGCACACACUGCACUCACCAGAAACUUCACAUGCAAGCUUAAUACUCUAACACCGGGAACAGAAUGAUGCGGUCCCAGGACCGGCGCGUGCCCACUGCCAUGCUCCUGCUGGAUUUCAUCACUCCUUGAAGGGUAACAACACGUGAAAAUACACGCGUAGUGAGAUGAGACAUCAUCACAGUUGUCGGCGAGCUGGGCCGGAGUGGCUCUGCAUGGAGGCCCCAGGGCCCUCUCCCCAGCCAGGGCCACACCCGAGGCACAUGGAGGUUCCCAGGCUAGGGGUUGAAUCACAGCUGUAGCCGCCCGCCUACGCCCCAGCCACAGCAACACCAGAUCCGAGCUGCUGCGUCUGCGACCUACACCACAGCUUGCGGCAACACCGCAUCCCCAACCCACUGAGCGAGGCCAGGGAUCAAACCUGCAUCCUCAUGGAUCCUAGUGGUGUUCGUUAACCACCGAGCCACGAAGGGAACUCUGGCCCCCCUAGUUUUGCUCACACCUGGGCUCUGGGCCCCUGACUCUCUGUCCAGUGUCACCCCCACUGACUCGUCGUGAGACCCUCAUGGGGCAGCUUCUCUGAGCCGCAGACCAGGAGUCCCUGCUCCACAUCCGUCAGCUCUGCCGUCACCCCAACCUUCUUUCGAGGCCUCCUUUACCCCCAAGGACCGCCCAGCCUGCCCCGGGACCUGCACCAGGACACCCCGUCAGAGGCCAGCCUCAGGCCCUGGAUAGAAAGCGGCUGCCCGGCCCAAGGGAAGGUCCGGGACUCCUGGGGGCGCAUAGGGCCCCAGCCCAGUGCGGUCCGAGCUGUGGGGCCAGGCGAUUCCAGGUGGAUGCUGCGCCCGGUCUCCCUCAGGCCCCAAGGCGGCCACAGGGGGAAGCCCCAGGGCCCUCCUCGGCACGGUGUGUGGCCAGGUCUAGACCACUGCAGCCAGUGACCCUGCUCCAGCAGGCGCUGAGGUGGCUGACGACAGAGUUGGACCUUAGGGGGUGGGCUUCAGGUUGGAGAAACCCCUCCCAGGAACGCAGGCCUAAGGGACACAGACGGCCACGGCCACCACCCGGAGCAGCCCCCACCCCUCCCACUCCCCCCUCCAGUAACACCCAGAGUGUGGCCAGGCCUGUGAAGGUCCUGCAGGAUGGGUCCUCCAGGAGAGCCUGUCUGCUCACUCAGAUGAGGAGGCCAGGGCUCGGACCCGGGCUGGGCCUUCCUUCAGUCCUGGGCCGUUAGCCUCUCACGGCUCUGCUUGUGUCCAGGGCUGCAGUUGCAGGCAGGGUCGGUGGCUGAAUUCAGGCCCUGUUCCCAUAGGCUCAGCACAGGGUGUGGCCUGAGGCCUGCCCAGGGGACAGGGAGGCCAUCACAGCCAGGCUUGUGCGCACCAGGGGACCGUCCAGUGACUUCAUGGUGGCAACCCGGGCUGGCUGCGGUGGGAGCGCUCAUACCACAGGUGCCCGCAGCACCGUCAGGCAUCCUCUCUUUUCUUAGCAGUAAUUUAUCAGCACAUCUGUGCGGGUAGCAGCCCCCGAGGCCCUGGGGCUGGGCUGGCCUCUCUGGAUCCCGUCCCUGUCACACACACCCCCCCGCCCCCCGCCACCCAGGUACUGUGCUGGUGCUUCGGCAGCCAUUGAGGAAGGCGGGAAGGCUGCGUCUCUAGAAGCUUCUACUCCUGGACACGACUGGCUGAGUGCCAUGCGUAUAAUCGGAAUGGCGGAGCUGGAGAGACGGGGGACCAUUAGCGUGUGGCCCGGCCAGCCUUAGGCUGAAUGACCCAGUGCCCCCAGGAUGCGCCACAGGAGCACUGGAGGGCUGCACUCUGAGCAGUGGGCACCGCAGGCGGGAAGGACGGAGGUCCUGAGCCGGGGGACGUGGGGGCUGCAAGGUGGGAAACGGCAGCAGAAGAGGGGGGGCACGGCAGGAGUGGGGCGACCCGUGUUCCGUCAUGCUUCCUGGGACCAGGCUGCGACCCACUCUGCCCCUCGAAGGUGGGGCCCACCUGGAAGGUCUGAGUCCCACAGCCGUGCUGCAGGUGCAGGUGGUGUGGCCCAGACAGGUGAGACCUUGGACCACCCCCACCACGACAGACGCCCUGGGCACGUCAAGGAGAGGCUGGAAAAACCGAGACUCCCCCCUGGAGGAGCAGCAGAAAAAUAAAGCUGAUAGAAAUGCCCCCCC